UACGGGAGGCAGCAGUGGGGAAUAUUGCACAAUGGGCGCAAGCCUGAUGCAGCCAUGCCGCGUGUAUGAAGAAGGCCUUCGGGUUGUAAAGUACUUUCAGCGGGGAGGAAGGCGAUGUGGUUAAUAACCGCAUCGAUUGACGUUACCCGCAGAAGAAGCACCGGCUAACUCCGUGCCAGCAGCCGCGGUAAUACGGAGGGUGCAAGCGUUAAUCGGAAUUACUGGGCGUAAAGCGCACGCAGGCGGUCUGUCAAGUCGGAUGUGAAAUCCCCGGGCUUAACCUGGGAACUGCAUUCGAACUGGCAGGCUAGAGUCUUGUAGAGGGGGUAGAAUUCCAGGUGUAGCGGUGAAAUGCGUAGAGAUCUGGAGGAAUACCGGUGGCGAAGGCGGGCCCCUGGGACAAAGACUGACGCUCAGGUGCGAAAGCGUGGGGAGCAAACGAGGAUUAGGAUAACC
rnacentral:rRNA from 1 species